GACGAACGCUGGCGGCGUGCUUAACACAUGCAAGUCGAACGGUGAAAGCGGAGCUUGCUCCGCUGGAUCAGUGGCGAACGGGUGAGUAACACGUGGGCAACCUGCCCCUCACUCCGGGAUAACUCCGGGAAACCGGGGCUAAUACCGGAUAUGACCUCCUUGGGCAUCCUUGGAGGUGGAAAGUUUUUCGGUGAGGGAUGGGCCCGCGGCCUAUCAGCUUGUUGGUGAGGUAGUGGCUCACCAAGGCGACGACGGGUAGCCGGCCUGAGAGGGCGACCGGCCACACUGGGACUGAGACACGGCCCAGACUCCUACGGGAGGCAGCAGUGGGGAAUAUUGCGCAAUGGGCGAAAGCCUGACGCAGCAACGCCGCGUGCGGGAUGACGGCCUUCGGGUUGUAAACCGCUUUCAGCAGGGAAGAAGCCGCAAGGUGACGGUACCUAACCAGAAAGCCACGGCUAACUACGUGCCAGCCGCCGCGGUAA
rnacentral:rRNA from 1 species